rnacentral:rRNA from 1 species
UACGUAGGGGGCAAGCGUUGUCCGGAAUCAUUGGGCGUAAAGCGCGUGUAGGCGGCUCGAUAAGUCUGCUGUGAAAGUCCAGGGCUCAACCCUGGAAUGCCGGUGGAAACUGUCGAGCUAGAGUACGGAAGAGGUGAGUGGAAUUCCUGGUGUAGCGGUGAAAUGCGCAGAUAUCAGGAGGAACACCAAUGGCGAAGGCAGCUCACUGGGACGUUACUGACGCUGAGACGCGAAAGCGUGGGGAGCAAACAGG